rnacentral:rRNA from 1 species
CCUACGGGAGGCAGCAGUGGGGAAUAUUGCACAAUGGGGGAAACCCUGAUGCAGCGACGCCGCGUGAGUGAAGAAGUAUUUCGGUACGUAAAGCUCUAUCAGCAGGGAAGAAAAUGACGGUACCUGACUAAGAAACCCCGGCUAACUACGUGCCAGCAGCCGCGGUAAUACGUAGGGGGCAAGCGUUAUCCGGAUUUACUGGGUGUAAAGGGAUCGUAGACGGCAGCGCAAGUCUGGAGUGAAAUCCCAUGGCUUAACCAUGGAACUGCGUUGGAAACUGUGCAGCUAGAGUGCAGGAGAGGUGAGCGGAAUUGCUAGUGUAGCGGUGACAGGCGUAGAUAUUAGGGGGAACACCAGUGGCGAAGGCGGCUUACUGGACUGUAACUGACGUUGAGGCUCGAAAGCGUGGGGAGCAAACAGGAUUAGAUACCCGGGUAGUC